GUGGGGAAUAUUGGACAAUGGGCGAAAGCCUGAUCCAGCCAUGCCGCGUGUGUGAAGAAGGUCUUCGGAUUGUAAAGCACUUUAAGUUGGGAGGAAGGGCAGUAAGUUAAUACCUUGCUGUUUUGACGUUACCAACAGAAUAAGCACCGGCUAACUUCGUGCCAGCAGCCGCGGUAAUACGAAGGGUGCAAGCGUUAAUCGGAAUUACUGGGCGUAAAGCGUGCGCAGGCGGCUUUGUAAGACGGAUGUGAAAGCCCCGGGCUCAACCUGGGAAGUGCAUUCGUGACUGCAAGGCUAGAGUGUGUCAGAGGGAGGUGGAAUUUCCUGUGUAGCGGUGAAAUGCGUAGAUAUAGGAAGGAACACCAGUGGCGAAGGCGACUACCUGGACUGAUACUGACACUGAGGUGCGAAAGCGUGGGGAGCAAACAGGAUUAGAAACCCCGGUAGUCC
rnacentral:rRNA from 1 species